AGGAUAAACGCUGGCGGCGUGCCUAACACAUGCAAGUCGUACGAUCUGUAGCAAUACAGGGAGUGGCGGACUAGUGAGUAACACGUAGGAAUCUACCCCUUCGGAGGGAAUAACCAAUCGAAAGAUUGGCUAAUACCCAAGAAGUCCCGCAAGGAACAGAGUCGAAAGGCCUGGAGGGAUGAGCCUGCGGCCCAUCAGCUAGUUGGUGAGGUAAGAGCUUACCAAGGCUACGACGGG
rnacentral:rRNA from 1 species